GGUUGAUCCUGCCAGUAGUCAUAUGCUUGUCUCAAAGAUUAAGCCAUGCAUGUCUAAGUAUAAACUGCUUUAUACUGUGAAACUGCGAAUGGCUCAUUAAAUCAGUUAUAGUUUAUUUGAUGGUACCUACUACUCGGAUAACCGUAGUAAUUCUAGAGCUAAUACGUGCGCACAUCCCGACUUCUGGAAGGGACGUAUUUAUUAGAUUAAAGGCCGACCGGGCUCUGCCCGACUCGCGGUGACUCAUGAUAACUUCACGAAUCGCAUGGCCUUCGUGCCGGCGAUGUUUCAUU
rnacentral:rRNA from 1 species